rnacentral:piRNA from 1 species
UGGACGAGUAAUUUUUUCUUUUUU